rnacentral:rRNA from 1 species
UACGAAGGGGGCUAGCGUUGCUCGGAAUUACUGGGCGUAAAGGGAGCGUAGGCGGAUAGUUAAGUCAGAGGUGAAAGCCCAGGGCUCAACCUUGGAAUUGCCUUUGAUACUGGCUAUCUUGAGUAUGGGAGAGGUUAGCGGAACUCCGAGUGUAGAGGUGAAAUUCGUAGAUAUUCGGAAGAACACCAGUGGCGAAGGCGGCCGGCUGGGGGCGCCCUGACGCUGAGCGCGAGAGCGUGGGAGCGAACCGG